AAAAAUGGUACAAGUUAUUUGCGUAAAAAGGUUAAUCAAUCCAUCUAGAUUUCAAUGUAAUCACGACAAUAAUCUAGAAAAAUUAUUUUCCAAUAAAAAAUACACCAAAAUAAUUCCCAAGAAAUAGAAUGAAAAUACUUGAGCAAUUUCAAGAAAAUUCAAUUUCAAAUUAAGUAUGUACACAACAAAAUUUUCAUUUUCAUCAAGGAAUAUAUUUUUCAAAAUAUUGUGUUUUUUCAAUCAUUUGAAUCCAUAUCAUAGG
rnacentral:misc_RNA from 1 species